CAAUUGGCAACACAAAAUCUAAUCUGGUCUUUGAACCCUUUGAAAACCUUGUAAUCACAGCGUCUUCGUCAACAUCAAUGUCCCUAAGCGCGUUCGGUUAUUACCUCGGACCGCUCGGACUUGUCUGAACCGUCUGUUUAUUACAUCCAGAUUGAGAGGAAUACACAUCUGGAGCGUUCGGCAAAUAUAUCUGAGCAAUCGGAUGUCAAUCUUUUUCGUCGGACGUUUUCGACCUAGCAAAACGAUUUUAUCCACAGAGUUUACCUUUGUCUAUGGAUUAUUGGAUUUUAUCUGUCUUUUAUGUUUGUUUAUUCAUAAAAAUUAACAUUUCGUCGUAGUUUGUAUUGAAAAAUUUCAAUACCUAACUCGUUAUACUUCUAUAAUUGGAUUUUAAAUAAAAUGAUGGGUAUGGAAUGCAGAUAACAAAUGAAUAGGCAGUGUGUAUAUUUUUGGAAUGAGAUAUAUGGUGGUGACUUUGGACAAUAUCAUUGGUAAGACUUUGGGGACAGAUAAUUUUUUCGUGUAAUUAUAUAAAGCGUUGUGCAUGCUCAGUUUAUUCAGAAGAGCGAUAGACAUUCAAGCUAGGGAUAUGAGGAAAAAGGCCAAGCUUUUAAAAAAGUUGACCAUGUUUACAAUAUAUGAAGUGGACUGGUUUCAUUACUUCCAAAUAAAUGAGACAGACUUCAGUGAAUUUUCCACCUUAUUAUAUCGAAAUUAUGUAAUGGAUGAAGCAGAAGAAAUUUACUCCUUCAAGGGUAUCGACUGGGACAUCAGUGUCCCAGAAGUAUUUUAUAAAUGUCCUGUUCAACAAUAAAUAUACCCAGCUUGGAAUCAAUUGGGAAUAUAAAGCCAGAUCAGUGUAUUCAAGUUUCAGAGAAAAAAUACCAUAUUCAGGAAAAGGAAGUUUGUCAGUUGGACCCGAGGCUUGUUGCUUUUCUGAAUGGUGUUAUUUUCAAGAAUGGGGAGUCAGUGAAAUUAUUGGAAAUCAAAUGUCUAUUCAUUGGUCAAAUUAUUUCUGCUGAAAAUACUGAGCACCAUUGCCAAUAUUUGAGAAGAGGAAAAGCCAGCUAAUUUGAAAGAAUGAAUAAACAUUAUGCUAGAGUCUGAUAAAGUAUGGCAAUUAUGAAUUUGAAAAAUUGCGACUCUAUAGUGUUCUCAUCUGGUGAUAAGACGUUCAAAACUGUUAAUGAGCCAUUUGAUGAAGAAUUCACAAAAAAAGAAUUCUUAAAACUUUAAAUGAUUUAUUUUAAAAAUAUGCUCUACAGUCUACACAUUGUGUAGCAUGAAAGUUUCAAUUUUUCAAUUAGAAAGAUAUUUUUCCAAGCCUUAAUUAUGCUGUAAUAAGACCAUCCAGAAUAAGAAAAGUUCCGAAUCAUACAUGUCUGAAGUUAUACAUGUUAUAACUUCUUGACUAUUGAAAAAUUUGAGUCCAGUUGUUAUUAGUAAGAGAGUAAAGGAUUUGCUAUUGGAUCAUACAAUAUACAGGUUGAGUGAUUUAUUUAGGAAUCAUUUUUGUAAAUAUUAUUUGAUAAUUUGUAACUACAAACAUAUUUAUUUUUUCAUUACAAUGACUAUUAAUACUAUUCAUUUAUAGUUUAAGAUUUUUUGAUUGACAAGCCAUGUAAACUUUUGAUGGCGUAUGUUUUUAUGGAUUUCUUGUGUGCAAAUAAAUUAUUAUUAUUAUCAAA